rnacentral:rRNA from 1 species
UAUGGCUGUUCGCCAUUUAAAGUGGUACGCGAGCUGGGUUUAGAACGUCGUGAGACAGUUCGGUCCCUAUCUGCCGUGGGCGCUGGAGAACUGAGGGGGGCUGCUCCUAGUACGAGAGGACCGGAGUGGACGCAUCACUGGUGUUCGGGUUGUCAUGCCAAUGGCACUGCCCGGUAGCUAAAUGCGGAAGAGAUAAGUGCUGAAAGCAUCUAAGCACGAAACUUGCCCCGAGAUGAGUUCUCCCUGACCCUUUAAGGGUCCUGAAGGAACGUUGAAGACGACGACGUUGAUAGGCCGGGUGUGUAAGCGCAGCGAUGCGUUGAGCUAACCGGUACUAAUGAACCGUGAGGCUUAACCUUACAACGCCGAAG